rnacentral:rRNA from 1 species
CCCGCUGAACUUAAGCAUAUCAAUAAGCGGAGGAAAAGAAACCAACAGGGAUUGCCCCAGUAACGGCGAGUGAAGCGGCAACAGCUCAAAUUUGAAAUCUGGCCUCCUCCGGGGGCCCGAGUUGUAAUUUGCAGAGGAUGCUUCUGGCGCGGCGCCUUCCGAGUUCCCUGGAACGGGACGCCAUAGAGGGUGAGAGCCCCGUCUGGUUGGACGCCUAGCCUCUGUGAAGCACCUUCGACGAGUCGAGUAGUUUGGGAAUGCUGCUCAAAAUGGGAGGUAUAUGUCUUCUAAAGCUAAAUACCGGCCAGAGACCGAUAGCGCACAAGUAGAGUGAUCGAAAGAUGAAAAGCACUUUGAAAAGAGGGUUAAACAGUACGUGAAAUUGUUGAAAGGGAAGCGCUCAUGACCAGACUUGGGCCCCGCGCAUCACCCGGCGUUCUCGCCGGGGCACUUCGCAGGGCCCAGGCCAGCAUCAGUUCGUGGCGGGGGACAAAGGCUUCGGGAACGUGGCUCCCUCGGGAGUGUUAUAGCCCGCUGCGCAAUGCCCUGCCGCGGACUGAGGUUCGCGCUUCCGCAAGGAUGCUGGCGUAAUGGUCAUCAGCGACCCGUCUUGAAACACGG